UACGGGAGGCAGCAGUGGGGAAUAUUGCACAAUGGGCGCAAGCCUGAUGCAGCCAUGCCGCGUGUAUGAAGAAGGCCUUCGGGUUGUAAAGUACUUUCAGCGGGGAGGAAGGCGAUGCGGUUAAUAACCGCGUCGAUUGACGUUACCCGCAGAAGAAGCACCGGCUAACUCCGUGCCAGCAGCCGCGGUAAUACGGAGGGUGCAAGCGUUAAUCGGAAUUACUGGGCGUAAAGCGCACGCAGGCGGUCUGUUAAGUCAGAUGUGAAAUCCCCGGGCUUAACCUGGGAACUGCAUUUUGAAACUGGCAGGCUUGAGUCUUGUAGAGGGGGUAGAAUUCCAGGUGUAGCGGUGAAAUGCGUAGAGAUCUGGAGGAAUACCGGUGGCGAAGGCGGCCCCUGGACAAGACUGACGCUCAGGUGCGAAAGCGUGGGGAGCAAACAGGAUUAGAUACC
rnacentral:rRNA from 1 species